rnacentral:rRNA from 1 species
UACGUAGGGGGCAAGCGUUGUCCGGAUUUAUUGGGCGUAAAGCGCGUGUAGGCGGCCAGGUAGGUCCGCUGUGAAAACCCGAGGCUCAACCUCGGGACGGCGGCGGAAACCAUCUGGCUAGAGUCCGGAAGGGGAGAGUGGAAUUCCCGGUGUAGCGGUGAAAUGCGCAGAUAUCGGGAAGAACACCCGUGGCGAAGGCGGCUCUCUGGGAAGGUCCUGACGCUGAGACGCGAAAGCGUGGGGAGCGAACAGG